rnacentral:tRNA from 3 species
GCCCGGGUGGCGGAACUGGUAGACGCAGCGGACUUAAAAUCCGCCGGACCGCAAGGACCGUGCCGGUUCGACUCCGGCCCUGGGCA